rnacentral:misc_RNA from 1 species
GAUGAAGAACGUAGCGAAAUGCGAUACGUAAUGUGAAUUGCAGAAUUCAGUGAAUCAUCGAAUCUUUGAACGCAUAUUGCGCUCUCUGGUAUUCCGGAGAGCAUGCUUGUUUGAGUAUCAGUAAACACCUCAACUUCCAUAUCUUUUUUGAAAUGGGAGUUGGACUUGAGUGAUCCCAACGCUUUUCCUCACCGAAAAGUGGCGGGUUACUUGAAAUGCAGGUGCAGCUGGACUUUUCUCUGAGCUAUAAGCAUAUCUAUUUAGUCUGCCUAAAAAACAGAUUAUUACCUUUGCUGCAGCUAACAUAAAGGAGAUUAGUUCUUGUGCUGACUGAUGCAGGAUUCACAAAGACAGGCUUCGGCCGACUUUGUAAACUCGAUCUCAAAUCAAGUAAGACUACCCGCUGAACUUAAGCAUAUCAAUAGCGGAGGA